rnacentral:rRNA from 1 species
AACGAACGCUGGCGGCAUGCCUAACACAUGCAAGUCGAACGAGACCUUCGGGUCUAGUGGCGCACGGGUGCGUAACGCGUGGGAAUCUGCCCUUCGGUUCGGAAUAACUCAGGGAAACUUGAGCUAAUACCGGAUGAUGUCUUCGGACCAAAGAUUUAUCGCCGAAGGAUGAGCCCGCGUCGGAUUAGCUAGUUGGUGAGGUAAAGGCUCACCAAGGCGACGAUCCGUAGCUGGUCUGAGAGGAUGAUCAGCCACACUGGGACUGAGACACGGCCCAGACUCCUACGGGAGGCAGCAGUGGGGAAUAUUGGACAAUGGGCGAAAGCCUGAUCCAGCAAUGCCGCGUGAGUGAUGAAGGCCUUAGGGUUGUAAAGCUCUUUUACCCGGGAUGAUAAUGACAGUACCGGGAGAAUAAGCCCCGGCUAACUCCGUGCCAGCAGCCGCGGUAAUACGGAGGGGCUAGCGUUGUUCGGAAUUACUGGGCGUAAAGCGCGCGUA